rnacentral:sRNA from 1 species
CUGAGCAGAUUUGUGGACAGAUAUAAUGUACAUGGGAAUCGAUAGCUCCGGCUGUAAAUAUUUUCCCUUCACCGGCAAAAGCUUCUGUACUUGCACCCACAACCAUACCAGGAGUGACACCAUCCAUGACAUCAGGGUUACCAGCUUUUCCAAUACCGACAAUGAUACCAUGUUUGAUGCCGAUAUCCGCCUUGUAAAUACCAGUAUAAUCAAAAAUCAUGGCAUUUGUAAUAACGAGAUCCAAGACAUCUUCAUCGCAUGCAUAUGUGGCUUGUCCCAUUCCUUCUCGAAG